GACGAACCGUACGAACGUUAUUCGGAAUCACUGGGCGUAAAGGGUGCGUAGGCGGGUUUUUAAGUCAGAGGUGAAAUCCUGGAGCUCAACUCCAGAACUGCCUUUGAUACUGGGAAUCUUGAGUAUGGAAGAGGUGAGUGGAACUGCGAGUGUAGAGGUGAAAUUCGUAGAUAUUCGCAAGAACACCAGUGGCGAAGGCGGCUCACUGGCCCGAUACUGACGCUGAGGCGCGAAAGCGUGGGGAGCAAACAGG
rnacentral:rRNA from 1 species